rnacentral:rRNA from 1 species
AGUGAACGCUGGCGGUAGGCCUAACACAUGCAAGUCGAACGGCAGCACAGUAAUAGCUUGCUCUUACGGGUGGCGAGUGGCGGACGGGUGAGGAAUACAUCGGAAUCUACUUUUUCGUGGGGGAUAACGUAGGGAAACUUACGCUAAUACCGCAUACGACCUACGGGUGAAAGCAUGGGAUCUUCGGACCUUGCGCGAUUGAAGGAGCCGAUGUCGGAUUAGCUAGUUGGCGGGGUAAAGGCCCACCAAGGCGACGAUCCGUAGCUGGUCUGAGAGGAUGAUCAGCCACAUUGGAACUGAGACACGGUCCAGACUCCUACGGGAGGCAGCAGUGGGGAAUAUUGGACAAUGGGCGCAAGCCUGAUCCAGCCAUACCGCGUGGGUGAAGAAGGCCUUCGGGUUGUAAAGCCCUUUUGUUGGGAAAGAAAAGCAGCAGGUUAAUACCCCGCUGUUCUGACGGUACCCAAAGAAUAAGCACCGGCUAACUUCGUG